GACAGGGGUCUCGAGCGUUAAUCGGAAUUACUGGGCUUAAAGGGUGCGUAGGUGGGUCCGCAAGUGCCUUGUGAAAUCCCCCGGCUCAACCGGGGAACUGCGGGGCAUACUGCGGGUCUUGAGGAAGGUAGGCGCCGAGGGAACAGUAGGUGGAGCGGUGAAAUGCGUAGAUAUCAUCUGGAACGCCAAUGGUGAAAACAGCUCGCUGGGGGUGUGCAGACGCUGAGACACGAAAGCCAGGGGAGCGAACGGG
rnacentral:rRNA from 1 species